GACGAACGCUGGCGGCGUGCUUAACACAUGCAAGUCGAACGGAAAGGCCCGGCUCUUGUGGGGUGCUCGAGUGGCGAACGGGUGAGUAACACGUGAGUAACCUGCCCUUGACUUUGGGAUAACUUCAGGAAACUGGGGCUAAUACCGGAUAGGAGAUCCUGCUGCACGGUGGGGGUUGGAAAGAUUCGGCGGUUGGGGAUGGACUCGCGGCUUAUCAGCUUGUUGGUGGGGUAGUGGCGUACAAAGGCUUUGACGGGUAGCCGGCCUGGGAGGGUGACCGGCCACCUUGGGACUGCGGUACGGCCCAGACUCCUACGGGAGGCAGCAGUGGGGAGUCUUGCGCAAUGGGCGGAAGCCUGAUGCGGCGACGCCGCGUGCGGGAUGACGGCCUUCGAGUUAUAAACCGCUUUCGCCUGUGACGAGGCGUGCGUGACGGUAAUGGGUAAAGAAGCACCGGCUAACUACGUG
rnacentral:rRNA from 1 species